UAAAAUUAAAAGGGUUUCUUCAAAAUUGCCCAAAUCCCUAAACCAUAAAAUCGACGGCCCCUUCCCCCAUCUCCCUCUCCUUUCUCUCUCACUCUCUCUCUCUUGAUCCGCCGUAGCCAAUCGGUUGCCCACUUGAGCAGAUGUUUUGUUGUCUUCAAUUGCCGAUGGAUGUUCUUCGUUUCCAGACUAUCUAUUCUUCGUUGCAUAUGUGUCCGUUCGAUUCAAGCAUGCCUUGCGGAAGAUCGCUCAACAUCUUCGAAAAACAAAAAUAAGUUCAAACAAGAGAAGAAAAGUAAGCCACCAUUAGUUUUAAAUAGUGGAAUACAAAAUGCAUAAGUUCCGACUAAAGAGUUGAUAAAUCAGUCGACAAAGAUCAAGAACACAAUUUAGGUACUUGAUUUUGAUUUGACAUUUUUUGGUUUUUUUCAUCUGCUUGACUUCGUCUUGUGACUUUCUCUUGUGAUUUAGCUGGAAACCGGAGCUCCGGAUUCGGGGUUUUCAAAGUGGUUUGACAGGUUAAGCAAACUAGGUUUGUGAUCUUUUUUCGAUUUCGUAGGACAACUCCAUUUGUGUUUUAAUUAUUACUUUAUCUGCUCUAUGUUUAUGUGAGAAGAAUAGUGCUCUGAAUGGAUUCUUAUUUGUUGAAGCAUUUGAUAAAUUAUUUGAUUCCUCACUGUUUCAAGGAUGAGUUUAAUUGUGGGAUGAAAUGUUGUAAACGUGUUGUAUUAGAUUACGUGAAUUUAAUCUAAUCUUGUCUAUAAAGUUUUAACUUUUGAGAUGCUUUAGAGUGAUAUAAAUGCUAACUUCAUUGCCAUUCGUCUCAUAGUGUCAGUUCAAACUAGGUUAUGACAUUUUUCGGGGUAUACAUAUUGUAAUCCACUCUGUUUUUUCUACUAAGAAGUGUCGAAUACUGUCUCCGUGCAUUUCUGUUUGUUUAAGUCUCAUUUUCUUUACAAAUAUACGUCAAUUGUAAUGAUUUCUAAAGUUGGAUUUUAUAACACGAGUUGGUGUUUCGUUUGAUAAUGCGAAAAUAUGCAAUUACAAGGACCAAUAAUAUAAUCCCAAUUCUUUUGAAUUAACUUUGUGCAGAGAAAGAGGCAGCUGAUAGAAGAAAAUUAGUGAGCAAAUGGCAUCCAACAACAAAGAGUACAUUUAGGUGACAUUACAAAAUUCAUUCUAAAUCAGAAGGUAGGUGUUUGCUUAAAGCCAUCGCAUCCUGUGGCUACAACAUUUCAUAAGCUUUUGCACCUGCACCAACAAGGUGGGCACAAGAAGAUAGCAGAAGUUGCAAAAGCUUAAAGACGGCCGAUAGAGGAAAAAGAAAAUAUUGGAGCAAAUGAAUGAAUAAUUGGUUUAUAGCAGUUAAUCUUAGUUAGUUUUGGACAAGGGGAACAUAAUAAGCUUUCUUAAACUUCUAAUUUAUAUUAAGAUUCAUUGUAAGAUGUAUAUUGUAUGAUUUGAAGAUAUAAUAUUUUUUGUAUUUUAUGAUCAUUUAAUUAAUUAUAU